GACGAACGCUGGCGGCGUGCUAACACCUGCAAGUCGAACGGUGAAGCUCCAGCUUGCUGGAGUGGAUCAGUGGCGAACGGGUGAGUAACACGUGAGCAACCUGCCCCAGACUCUGGAAUAAGCGCUGGAAACGGCGUCUAAUACUGGAUACGAGAUCAAGCCGCAUGGUUAUGGUCUGGAAAGUUUUUCGGUUUGGGAUGGGCUCGCGGCCUAUCAGCUUGUUGGUGAGGUAAUGGCUCACCAAGGCGACGACGGGUAGCCGGCCUGAGAGGGCGACCGGCCACACUGGGACUGAGACACGGCCCAGACUCCUACGGGAGGCAGCAGUGGGGAAUAUUGCACAAUGGGCGAAAGCCUGAUGCAGCGACGCCGCGUGAGGGAUGACGGCCUUCGGGUUGUAAACCUCUUUCAGCAGGGAAGAAGCGAAAGUGACGGUACCUGCAGAAGAAGCACCGGCUAACUACG
rnacentral:rRNA from 1 species